GACAGAGGCCUCGAGCGUUAGGCGGAAUCACUGGGCUUAAAGCGUGUAUAGGCGGAUCGUUAAGUACCUUGUGAAAUCCCACGGCUCAACCGUGGAACGGCUGGGUAUACUGGCGGUCUUGGGCCAUUCAGGGGCGACUGGAACAAGCGGUGGAGCGGUGAAAUGCGUAGAUAUCGCUUGGAACGCCGAAGGUGAAAACAGGUCGCUGGGGAUGUGCCGACGCUGAGACACGAAAGCCAGGGGAGCAAACGGG
rnacentral:rRNA from 1 species